GUGGCCUAGUGGUUAGAGUUUCUGCCUUGGAUGCAGAAGGAUGUAGGUUUGAUCCCCAGCAGAGUCA